rnacentral:lncRNA from 1 species
AGGCAUUUUCCUGACACUAGAGAUAAAGAAACCAGGGCUCAGGGAGUCUCAGUUGCACUUUGGAUAAGUGAUAGAGCUAGGAUUGGAACCUGGAUAUCUUUGACUCUGAAAUCUCUGCUCUACCCAUUGUGAUAUCCAGCCUUCCCAAGGCGGGCUGUGCUGAAGAAGCCUUGGUGAUAUGGGUGCAAAUGCCAAAAACAUGGGGUUUCAUUCUGUCACCAAGGCUGGAGUGCAGUGGCGUGAUCUUGGUUCACUGCAACCUCUCCCUCCCGGACUCAAGCCAUCCCCCUGCCUCUGUCUCCUGAGUAGCUGGAAUUAUAGAUGUACACCACCACACCUGACUAGUUUUUUAAUUUUUUGUGAAGACGGAGUUUUGCAGUGUUGCCUGGGCUGGUCUCAACUCCUGGGCUCAAGAAAUCCACCUGCCUCUGCCUCCCAAAGUGCUGGGAUUACAGAUAAUGCUGGAAGCCAAGCUUGCACAUUCUAGGCAGCCAUUUGGAAGAUUCUUCUCUGCGCAUGACCAGCUGAAAAGGAAAAACCCCGAAACAUUGGCACUGUGAUUUCUCCAUGUGAACAGUUUAGUUCGCCGAGGUGGACAUGCCUCAUUCAUGCUUAUGGAGUGACCGACCAGCCUUUAGUGACACCCCCUGAAAUGUGAGUCAUCCAUGGGUCACUAGUCAUUGGAGAAGAGCCCCUUAUACAAAACUUGGAGCUCAGACCACAAACAACAACAACAAUCCAAAAAAUAAAAAAAUGAAAAA